AAUGUGCCAAGUGGAGUUUGAGCUGGCCCACACUGCCCUCAAGCAGCUGAAGGGUACUGUGUGCGAUCAGGAGAAAACUGCUGGUGUACAGCUUCUGCAAACAGCCCACCCAGAGCGACUGCAACAUCCCUGCCCCUUCAGCCUCAGAUGUGAAAGCCAAGGCCAAGUAGGAGGCAUGGAAUGUGAACAAAGGGAUGUCUAAGAUGGACACCAUGAGGAUCUAUGUUGCCAAAGUAGAAAAGCUGAAGAAGAA
rnacentral:lncRNA from 1 species